rnacentral:rRNA from 1 species
CCUACGGGAGGCAGCAGUGAGGAAUAUUGGGCAAUGGGGGCAACCCUGACCCAGCCAUGCCGCGUGAGUGAAGAAGGUCUUCGGAUUGUAAAGCUCUUUCGGACGUGACGAUGAUGACGGUAGCGUCUAAAGAAGCACCGGCAAACUUCGUGCCAGCAGCCGCGGUAAUACGAAGGGUGCGAGCGUUGUUCGGAAUUACUGGGCGUAAAGGGAGUGUAGGCGGAUAUGUAAGAUAGCGGUGAAAUGCCGGGGCUCAACCCCGGAACUGCCAUUAUGACUAUGUAUCUAGAGUAAUGGAGAGGAUAGCGGAAUACCCAGUGUAGAGGUGAAAGUCGUAGAUAUUGGGUAGAACACCGGUGGCGAAGGCGACCUGCUAGAACAUAACUGACGCUGAUGCGCGAAAGCGUGGGGAGCAAACAGGAUUAGAUACCCUAGUAGUC